AGAGUUUGAUCCUGGCUCAGGAUGAACGCUGGCGGCGUGCUUAACACAUGCAAGUCGAACGAAGCACCUUGAUUUGAUUCUUCGGAUGAAGAUCUUGGUGACUGAGUGGCGGACGGGUGAGUAACGCGUGGGUAACCUGCCUCAUACAGGGGGAUAACAGUUAGAAAUGACUGCUAAUACCGCAUAAGACCACAGCACCGCAUGGUGCAGGGGUAAAAACUCCGGUGGUAUGAGAUGGACCCGCGUCUGAUUAGGUAGUUGGUGGGGUAACGGCCUACCAAGCCGACGAUCAGUAGCCGACCUGAGAGGGUGACCGGCCACAUUGGGACUGAGACACGGCCCAAACUCCUACGGGAGGCAGCAGUGGGGAAUAUUGCACAAUGGGGGAAACCCUGAUGCAGCGACGCCGCGUGAGCGAAGAAGUAUUUCGGUAUGUAAAGCUCUAUCAGCAGGGAAGAUAAUGACGGUACCUGACUAAGAAGCCCCGGCUAACUACGUGCCAGCAGCCGCGGUAAUACGUAGGGGGCAAGCGUUAUCCGGAAUUAUUGGGCGUAAAGGGCUCGUAGGCGGUUCGUCGCGUCCGGUGUGAAAGUCCAUCGCUUAACGGUGGAUCUGCGCCGGGUACGGGCGGGCUGGAGUGCGGUAGGGGAGACUGGAAUUCCCGGUGUAACGGUGGAAUGUGUAGAUAUCGGGAAGAACACCAAUGGCGAAGGCAGGUCUCUGGGCCGUUACUGACGCUGAGGAGCGAAAGCGUGGGGAGCGAACAGGAUUAGAUACCCUGGUAGUCCCAGCCGUAAACGAUGGACGCUAGGUGUGGGGGGACGAUCCCCCCGUGCCGCAGCCAACGCAUUAAGCGUCCCGCCUGGGGAGUACGGCCGCAAGGCUAAAACUCAAAGGAAUUGACGGGGGCCCGCACAAGCAGCGGAGCAUGUGGCUUAAUUCGAAGCAACGCGAAGAACCUUACCAGGGCUUGACAUAUGGGUGAAGCGGGGGAGACCCCGUGGCCGAGAGGAGCCCAUACAGGUGGUGCAUGGCUGUCGUCAGCUCGUGUCGUGAGAUGUUGGGUUAAGUCCCGCAACGAGCGCAACCC
rnacentral:rRNA from 1 species